rnacentral:rRNA from 1 species
GGGACACGUGAUAUCCUGUCUGAAUAUGGGGGGACCAUCCUCCAAGGCUAAAUACUACUGACUGACCGAUAGUGAACCAGUACCGUGAGGGAAAGGCGAAAAGAACCCCUGUGAGGGGAGUGAAAUAGAACCUGAAACCGUGUACGUACAAGCAGUAGGAGCAGGCUUUGUCCUGUGACUGCGUACCUUUUGUAUAAUGGGUCAGCGACUUAUAUUCAGUGGCAAGGUUAACCAUCUAGGGGAGCCGUAGGGAAACCGAGUCUUAACUGGGCGUUCAGUCUCUGGAUAUAGACCCGAAACCAGGUGAUCUAGCCAUGGGCAGGUUGAAGGUUGAGUAACAUCAACUGGAGGACCGAACCGACUAAUGUUGAAAAAUUAGCGGAUGACUUGUGGCUAGGGGUGAAAGGCCAAUCAAACCUGGAGAUAGCUGGUUCUCCCCGAAAGCUAUUUAGGUAGCGCCUCGGACGAAUACUACUGGGGGUAGAGCACUGUUAAGGCUAGGGGGUCAUCCCGACUUACCAACCCUUUGCAAACUCCGAAUACCAGUAAGUACUAUCCGGGAGACACACGGCGGGUGCUAACGUCCGUCGUGGAGAGGGAAACAACCCAGACCGCCAGCUAAGGUCCCAAAUUACUACUAAGUGGGAAACGAUGUGGGAAGGCUCAGACAGCCAGGAUGUUGGCUUAGAAGCAGCCAUCAUUUAAAGAAAGCGUAAUAGCUCACUGGUCGAGUCGGCCUGCGCGGAAGAUGUAACGGGGCUAAGUAGUAAACCGAAGCUGCGGCAAUGUGCUUUUGCACAUUGGGUAGGGGAGCGUUCUGUAAGCGGUUGAAGGUGUGUGGUAACGCAUGCUGGACGUAUCAGAAGUGCGAAUGCUGACAUGAGUAACGAUAAAGGGGGUGAAAAACCUCCUCGCCGGAAGACCAAGGGUUCCUGUCCAACGUUAAUCGGGGCAGGGUAAGUCGACCCCUAAGGCGAGGCCGAAAGGCGUAGUCGAUGGGAAACGGGUUAAUAUUCCCGUACUUCUUACAAUUGCGAUGGGGGGACGGAGAAGGCUAGGUGGGCCUGGCGACGGUUGUCCAGGUUCAAGUGCGUAGGCUUAAGAGUUAGGUAAAUCCGGCUCUUUUUAAGGCUGAGACACGACGUCGAGCACCUACGGGUGUGAAGUCAUUGAUGCCAUGCUUCCAGGAAAAGCCUCUAAGCUUCAGAUUGUAAGGAAUCGUACCCCAAACCGACACAGGUGGUCGGGUAGAGAAUACCAAGGCGCUUGAGAGAACUCGGGUGAAGGAACUAGGCAAAAUGGUACCGUAACUUCGGGAGAAGGUACGCUCUUGAUGGUGAAGUCCCUCGCGGAUGGAGCUGACGAGAGUCGCAGAUACCAGGUGGCUGCAACUGUUUAUUAAAAACACAGCACUGUGCAAAAUCGUAAGAUGACGUAUACGGUGUGACGCCUGCCCGGUGCCGGAAGGUUAAUUGAUGGGGUUAGACUUCGGUCGAAGCUCUUGAUCGAAGCCCCGGUAAACGGCGGCCGUAACUAUAACGGUCCUAAGGUAGCGAAAUUCCUUGUCGGGUAAGUUCCGACCUGCACGAAUGGCGUAAUGAUGGCCACGCUGUCUCCACCCGAGACUCAGUGAAAUUGAAAUCGCUGUGAAGAUGCAGUGUACCCGCGGCUAGACGGAAAGACCCCGUGAACCUUUACUACAGCUUGGCACUGAACAUUGACCCUACAUGUGUAGGAUAGGUGGGAGGCUUUGAAGCACGUACGCCAGUAUGUGUGGAGCCGUCCUUGAAAUACCACCCUU